rnacentral:rRNA from 1 species
GCAAGUCGAGCGGUAACAGGUCUAGCUUGCUAGAUGCUGACGAGCGGCGGACGGGUGAGUAACGCGUAGGAAUCUACCUAGUAGUGGGGGAUAGCCCAGAGAAAUUUGGAUUAAUACCGCAUACGCCCUACGGGGGAAAGGAGGGGAUCUUCGGACCUUUCGCUAUUAGAUGAGCCUGCGUGAGAUUAGCUAGUUGGUGGGGUAAAGGCUCACCAAGGCGACGAUCUCUAGCUGGUCUGAGAGGAUGAUC